rnacentral:rRNA from 1 species
ACGAAGGGGGCUAGCGUUGCUCGGAACGACUGGGCGUAAAGGGCGCGUAGGCGGCGCAUACAGUCAGAUGUGAAAUUCCUGGGCUUAGCCUGGGGGCUGCAUUUGAUACGUAUGUGCUUGAGUGUGGAAGAGGGUCGUGGAAUUCCCAGUGUAGAGGUGAAAUUCGUAGAUAUUGGGAAGAACACCGGUGGCGAAGGCGGCGACCUGGUCCAUAACUGACGCUGAGGCGCGAAAGCGUGGGGAGCAAACAGGAUUAGAUACCCUGGUAGUCCACGCUGUAAACGAUGUGUGCUGGGUGUUGGGUGGCCUAGCCACUCAGUGUCGUAGCUAACGCGAUAAGCACACCGCCUGGGGAGUACGGCCGCAAGGUUG